AUGUUAUAUUUUUCCGAGUUUGUGAAGCCGCAUGUUAUAGGUUGUCCGGGUUUUGUGAAGCCGCAUGGUGAGUGUUCCGGGUUUGGUAGUCUUCCGAGUUUGUGUGUUUAAAUCCGCAUGUUAUGAGCUCAAUUCCGCAUGUUAUAUUUUCAUUGCGUACGCAUAGUACGUUAAGGUCAAUUGUACGUUAACCAACCCCAAUAUAUAUACUUGAAAGUAACUAUUACAAUCCAGCAUUAGAUGUCAUGUCAUGCGGCAUGGCUUGCAAGUUAAAGACAACCUAUCAUUAUUAUGGUAAUAAGCUGAUUCAUACAAUAAGAUACCGUAAUCUAUGCAGUUAUAGCGGUAAUCAAAUAUCGGUUAAGGCCGAUGUUUGAGAUAUAGGCUAUUGCACCGGGGGGGGGGGGGGGGGGAGGAUCGCCAAUUUUAAUAUCAUGCAUAAUUUAUAUAGCAUAAAGUAUAUAUAUACAUAUAAUAUUAAUGGUAAUAUCAAAAGUCAAAAGUUUAUUUUUAUAUACGUUUUAUGUAGGUAUACGUUUUGACGUAAAUUAAAAAGAAAAACACUAUUUUCUCAUAUCCUUAUUUUUAUGGAUGUGUCAAUAUAAGUCCGUAUUUCGAUGUAAACGAUAUUAAUACAUAUUUCCACGUAAUAUGUUUAGAAGCGAGUAGGAUUUCACAUUCGGUAUUUAUAAUCGGAUUUCACAUUCAAAUUCCAAAACAGUUCAAUACAACGAUAUAACAAUAAUAUAAAUGUCACGUAAUAAUAAAUUUUAAAUCUCCAACUAGGUAGAGAAAAACAAAAUUUGUGCACAUAAGUUGUUUUAAAUUCAGUACCAUAAGUUGUUUUAAAUUCAAAUUCCGUACCUCAACGUCUUUUCCAUGAAGUGGAGAUAACCUAACGUCAGAUUAGUCAAAUAUUAGUUUUAUAGAUUUUAUUUUUAUUUUUAUUUUUUGUGGUGA
rnacentral:lncRNA from 1 species